UCUCCCCAUUGGGCGCCCGCUUCCCCUGAGCGAACCUUUUAGAACUCCGAGGCACAAUAUUCUGUUACAUUGUAGCAAAAUGGCGACUGUCAUUCACAACCCCCUGAAAGCUCUUGGGGACCAGUUCUACAAAGAAGCCAUAGAGCACUGUCGCAGCUACAACUCCCGGCUCUGUGCUGAACGCAGUGUCCGUCUACCUUUCCUUGACUCGCAGACUGGUGUAGCUCAGAAUAACUGUUACAUUUGGAUGGAAAAGAGACAUCGGGGACCAGGACUUGCACCAGGUCAACUCUAUACGUAUCCUGCCCGUUGCUGGCGCAAGAAGAGACGUUUGCAUCCUCCUGAGGAUUCCAGGCUGAAGUUGCUGGAGAUCAAACCUGAAGUUGACCUGCCCCUGAAGAAGGAUGGCUUCACAUCCGAGGGGACCACACUGGAAGCUUUGCUGCGUGGAGAAGGGCUUGAAAAGAAGAUAGAUACUAAAGAGGAGGACACUCUACAAGAAAUCCAGAGGGUUCUGGAAAAUGAUGAAAAUGCUGAUGAAGUAAAUGAGGAGGAAGAGAUGGAAGAAGAUAUCCCAAAACGAAAGAACAGACCCAGAGGACGGGCCAGAGGCUCUGGAGGUGGUAGGCGAAGGAAUGAUGUUUCUUCCAUGGAUGACCACGAUAAACCCUAUGUUUGUGACAUCUGUGGCAAACGCUAUAAGAACAGGCCUGGAUUGAGCUACCAUUAUGCUCACACUCACCUUGCGAGUGAAGAAGGGGAUGACGCUCAGGAGCAGGACACACGUUCCUCACCUGUCCACAGAAAUGAAAAUCACAAACCAGCCCAGAAAGGACCAGAUGGGGCCAUCAUUUCCAAUAACUACUGUGACUUCUGUCUUGGUGGAUCCAAUAUGAACAAAAAAAGUGGACGGCCAGAGGAACUUGUUUCGUGUUCAGAUUGUGGGCGCUCUGCUCAUUUGGGAAGAGAAAGCAGGAAAGAAGAAGCAGCGGCAGCUCACACUACGGAGGACUUAUUCGGUUCCACCUCUGAAAGCGACACCUCAACUUUUCAUGGCUUUGAUGAGGAUGACACAGAAGAGCCUGUUUCAAACCAGAGCAGCAGCUCCCUUCCUGCAAAGAAAAAGGGCAGCUGCUAAAAUGGCUCAUCACACACAAGCUCUAAGAGUGACUUCCUGCCCCUUUUGCUACUUUUACUCUUAUUGUUGCUAUUGCAUUUUAAAAAAAAAUUAGACCUAUUUUUACCUUUGAGUGUGUACAAUGAAAGCACAACCAUCUAAUAAUGUAGAAAACCUCUUUUUGGUAAAAAAAAAUUGGCUACUUUGUUUUCAUAAUUCUCCCUCCUUUUUUCUCUUUGCAAACCUGAAAUGUGGGUGUCCUUUUUUUUAAAGGUAAAUAACUUAAUAAAUAGAAGAGAGCUAAUUUGUUCAACUUUUAAUAUAUAUAUAUAUAUUAGCCCAAUAUCAAAAAUGAAAAUUCAGAAGAGUUGGACACCAGGACCCCACCUCAAAUUGUGUUUUAAAGUAUUUAUUUAUAUAUUAUAUAUAUUAAUAGAUAAAAGACUUUUAAAAUUACGAAAAAGCAAUGAUAUCUACUUGAUAAUCUAAUUGUACAGAAAGUGCUGUAUGUACAGCUAUGAUAUGGAUUAUGAAACAGCUAUUGAAUGGAUUAUUCCAGAUCAAAAGGAAACUGAAACACUUGCCAGUGUGACUUUGGCACUGUGAAAAGUUUGCACACUGGAUUUUGUGACUUCCCCCUCUGUACUUUUGGUAUCUUCACCUUUAACCGUUUAGGGAAGAAAGGCAAGGAAAAUCCAGAAAGAUGGUAAAAGAAAAAAUUCCUGCCUCCUUUCUUGGGACACAUUUGUACUCUUUCAAGAAUUCCUCAUGUUUCUCACCUUGGCAUCUUUUUAACAGACACUGCCUCAUUUUUCUUUGCCACCUUCUUCACCUUCUACAAUGUGGAAAAUAAUUUCCCCGAGCAAAUGGAUGGAAUAUACCAUUAAGUCACAGAUUCUGCAAAGAUCAAACAAAGGAUGUGAAUCUUGAAAGAAAUUAAAAGGAAAAAAUACCUCAUGUUUCUUUUGUUUUACGUUUUAAAAAUAAAUCAGAAACCCAUUUAGUCUUAUUUUUGAUAGCUCCUCUUGAAAUAUACCAAAGCAAUACUCACUAAUCUUCAAAGGGGAGCAGAGAAGACAGAAUCUCUCUCUCUCAUUUGCUAUUCCAGCAACAUGGAGUUGAGCAGCAGGAUUAUAAGAUGAUGAUCCUGUGCUCACUUGAAUUCUGAAUCCAUCAGGAAAACUAUGGAAGAAGCCAAGUAAGAUUUGCCAGGAUGCUUUGAUCUCCUCUCCUUGCCUGAUCCUUUCUCAACCUGUGUCUCCUCCCACACAGGAGCCUGGACUGGGGAAUGCCUGCUGGCACUUGCUCAGAGAAGUCUUGGGGUUUCCCUAGGCUUGUGCAAUACAAAGAGAAUCCUUACAUUUUUAAAAACAAACUAUCUUUUUCUUCAAGUGUUGUGUGAGCUAGUGUGUACGUUUGUAUAUAUAAGACCAGAUCAAACUGGAACUGAUUGACAAUAGUAAUGACUAAAAAUGACAAAGAAAUUCCAGAAAAUCUCAACAAAAAUAGAACAGGUUAUUUUAUUUAUUUCAGUAUUUAAAAGAGAAAUGUAGGGCUGAUGUUGCACAGUUAUUUUUGUUUAAAAAUCAUUUUGCUUUUUUGUGAAGAAGGGACUUUUUAAACAGUGUUUAAUGUAAGAUAUAGGCUAUUUGCUUUCAGGAGAAGGCUUUUUUUAAUUUAUGAAAAUAAAGAUUAAACUGCUCUCUCUUACUUUAAAGAUGCCAUUCGUACACAUGCUGGGUGUUUUUAUUUUUUCAAAGUGGAUAUGGUAAGUUCAAAGUUGCUCUGGCUCAUUUUCCUGAAUGUCUGCUAAUGUUUUGUGUGUGAAUGUAUUAGAAUAAGCAAAACAAAAUUUUAAACAAACAAACAAAUUUUUCUGAAGAAUCAUGCUAGAUUCUGGAUGGUUAUUUGUCACAAGAGUUUAAAGUGUGUUCUGCCAGGAGUAUAAAGUAAGAGGAAGCUUAGGCAUUGCCAUUUCUUAGCAAUAACACCACUGAAGCCUGAUACUUUUUAAAAGGAAAAAUAUUCUGUUGCCUGCAAAGUUACCUUAUUGAGUGAAUAAUUCAUGCCAACACCUGCUUGCAAAUAAAGAUAACUAAUACAAGAAAUCCAGAGUUGGGUAACUAGGACAAUAUGUUUGGCAAUAAACUUGCAUUCCCAAAAUUCUUGGAGGAGGCAUUUGAAAUACUCUUUUGGAGCAGCUAGCAACAUUAAAAAUUAACCGCCAUUUUCCAGAAGUAGUAGAAUUCAUCCAAUGGGAGCUAGUCAUAUUUAGUUUCUCUAUUGUAAUUUCUUGAGUUCUACAUGCAACAAUGUGACAACUGGUGCUUUUCAGAUGACUUUUAAAAUGUUCCCUUGGUAGUGUGCAGAGGGAAGAGUUGUGCUAGAACAAUGUAUCCUAAUACAUUUUGGAGAAUGAUGUAUGAGCAAGAUGCCAGAUUCAAUGGAUAUAGAUGUAUUCCUAUGGAAAGUUAUUUGGAUAACUCAUUCUGUUUUAACUUUUCCAGGAAUUUAUGUUCACCAGAUUGUGUCAGUCCUUUGUGUGAAGGGGACUGCCAUGACUUGGAAAUGUACCAUUCAGUAUGAUUCUGUGCAUAUUAAUUUAAUCAGAAGUAAUUUUCAGGAAGUUAAUAAGACCUACUUCCUAGUAAGUAUGCAUAUGAGUGCUUAGUCUAAUAGUAGAUUAAAAGUAAUACAAGAUCAUUUUUUAAGAAUUUAUAACUGAAAGUUUCUCUCUUGAAAUUCAGUGAGCAAUACACAACUCUGUUGAUAGAUAAUACUAUAACUACAGCUCCCAUAAUCUGCAGUCAGUAAGAUUGCUGACUGUGGGAUUCUGGGAGUCAUAAUUUCUGUUUCUAGUGGGAAGUCUCAGACCAGUAGGCACACAGAGAAGCCUAGAGCAGAUCAAGAAUGUCCUGGAAGUUGAGUCAUGGUCAACAACACAGGAUGCCGCCAAACAAAGUAGGGCCCCUUCUACACUGUCCUAUAUCCCAGGAUCUGAUCCCAAAUUAUCUUCUUAUCCCAGAUUAUAUGGCAGUGGAGACUCAUAGCAGAUAACCUGGGAUCAGAUCCUGGGAUAUAAGGACAGUGUAAAAGGGGCCUAGGUAAGGCAGAUGAAAGUGGUUGAAGAAACAGAGCUGAUUCAUAACAGGUCAAGUUUUGCAAGGUUGUCAAUCAAAUACAGCAGGCUUUGAGAGAAGUUUCAGUGUUCAGUCAAGGUCAGAUACCAGGAUAGCCAAUAGAGAGGAAUUUCUAGAUAGCAAGCUGUCAAGAAAAUUCUAGGUCAUGUGUAGUCUUCAUCAGUCUUUCUACCAUAAAUAGCAAUUCUUGCACAGAUGCUGCCAGGUUCUGUAGCUGAUCAAGAGGCUGAUAGCAGAUAUCCUCAACAGAAGCAACCUCUCUACUGCAGUCUUAUACUUCUGUUUACAGGCUGACAUUCCCUGUGAGUUAGAAGUUGCUCUGCCUCAUGCUCUAAUGCAGAAAUCCCCUCAUCUGGUGAGGUCGAACCCUUAGCUAUUUUUUAUAGUCCUGGAUGCUUUCUUAGUCUCUUGGCAUUUCAGAGUUGGGUUGUCAGCUGGGGACUCUGGUUCUUCAUAUGAUGAAGAAUCUCUAAGUUGGGGUAUGACAUGUAGUAGGUUGUGCAACACAGUCAGAGUGCAUUUCCACCCAGCUUGCAAGCCUGGAAACUUGACAUCACCUUGAAAUAUAUUACAGUGGCAUAGACGCAGCCCUGCAAAUUCUGAAUCUAGUUGCUGUCUCAGGGAUGGUGGGUAUUAGAACACUGCUCAGGCCAGAAAGGAUCCAUAUUAUGUGAAAUGCAUUAAAUGAAAUCUGCAUUGUGUAAUCAAAUUAAUCUGAAGAGCUAAAACCACAGUACAUUACAUUGCCCUGGUGCAUAGCUAAAAUCAGUGGUGGGUAGCAUCAGAGGUAGCCCCUCCACCCUCACCUACCCAUGUCAUCAAUUGGGGAUGCUUCAUAACUAUAGAAAGCUACUUCAGUAAAUAUCAGGUGGAAUCUGCUGGCUACAAUUACACUAACAUUUUUUUUAAAAAAAGAUUUCAAUUAGCCAAAAAGAAGGAACAUCCAUAUUGAACUUCAGCAAAUUGUACUCAUUUGUAUUUUGUGUCCAUAUACAAUCUACUUCUAAGGCAUCUCCUGUUUACUUCUCUGUAAAUAUUUCUUUAUCCAAGUUUUUUUAAAAAGAAAAAUUUGUAAAACUGCAAUUGCUGUACAUAGUUUUUAAAGUCCUCAUUGUUUACAAUGCUGUUCUCCAUGCUGAAAAUAAAACUUCCUUCUCUA